UUAAAAUCAGCCAUUCAACUGCCUUCAUGUUCAUCUUUUCCCCUUUAUUUUAGGUGGUGCACUUCAAUGGUUGGAAGAAAAUCAAACCUCAAUAUCCUGAUCUGCAAACUUUGGAAUGUUGGAGUCACCAUAGUUAAGACAACAGAAUUUCUCCAAGGCCAGACAUCUAGAUGGGGGCUUGCAUGGUCAUUUUUGCCUCCCUCCAGGAAGAUGAUUGCAUAUGACCGAGAAGAAUAAUUUGUCUUUGACAUCAGAGCGUACUGGACUUCAGAUUGUAAAAGAAUUUGCUGAUAUUGAGGCAUGAUUGCUGUACCUUAACACGGGGUUAGCUCUGAGGUAAAACAUUCUGAGAGUCAAUGGAAGUGAUAUACGUCCAUGGUAAUUUAGGUACCCUUUUGGCACUUGUCAAUUACUUUCGAAGUGAUGUUUCUUUUAAUUUCCUCAAAAAUAGCUAUCUGAUUGCAAAGACAUAUUUCUAGCACAUACAUUCUUGUCCCCAUUGUUAGUUGACUCAGACUAGAGCUGUCUGCUGAAGUUGGUAGACAGGUAAAGUACUUUGUUAAAAUAAAAAUUUUUGUUGGUUUUUUUUUUUGCUAGAAUUAUGUUGAUUUUCUUUGUUGUUAUAAAAUGAAAGUUGAUACUAAUGGGACAUCUUGUCAAGGCUGGUAGGAACUUGUGGAUUGGAGGAUCAGAAUUUUCUUUUUUGUUAUAGUCUAUUAAUGCUUUUGUUUGUUCAUUACUUUUGUUUUCUACGAGUAAGCUGUUAAAAAGUAAAGUUGCAUUUUGUUUCUCCAGGUAGGGGUGGAUUCGAGUGAAAAAAAAUGCCCGUGGGAUACAAAUUUCACAGGUGCAAGGUGCUUGGACAAAGAUCAGAAAGCAUGGGAUGAACAAAUAUAUGCAACAGAGGAUGAUUGUAUACUGAUGAAAAAUUAUUCUUUCCAAACUUAUCCGAAGUUAUCUUUGUUCUUUGUUUUAUUUUUUACAUGACCAGUUCGAAAGAUAAUUUCUCUAUGGAUCUUGUUGAAGUUUUCUUUAUUUCGUCACUCUUUGGAUGCUUCGUAAUUGUAUCUUAUGGGUGAAAUCAUGUGUAAAUUUACUUCGUCAAAUUGAGUUUAUUUUGCUUCUCA